rnacentral:lncRNA from 1 species
GGCAGAUUAUUGCAAAAGGGCACGGGGCAGAGGGACUAUGUUGUGAGCCUGCGAAAGAAGUUUGUGUGGGGACUGUGGGCAGUGAACGCGUUGGGAACAAUAUGGAAAACUGGGAGCCGCCUUGGAAUCUACAGGGCCGGAGAGACCGAGGGGCUCACUAGGUUGACCAGGCUGGUCUUGAACUCCUGGCCUCAAGCCAUCCUCCCACCUCAGCCUCCCAAAGUGCUGGGAUUACAUGCAUGAGCCACCACAUCCAGCCUACCUAAAAUAUUGAAUGCUGUUAAUAAAUCUCCUGAGGCCAGCAUAAGAAGGUGAUGGGCAAAACUAAUGCAGGUCAUCCUCCGAAUGAAUUUAUAUUACCGAGUGGAGGGUCACAUGAAGAAAAUGGUCAAACAGCACCACCUACAGCAAGAGCUGAGAAGUGCAGCGGAGCCGGGCUGAGUCAGGAAAGAAAAGCAAGCUGGGGCCUGGCUCAGCGCUCUCCCCUCUGCUCCUGUCUGCACGGAAAGAUUAGGAUGACAGUGGCAGGACGCCUGUGCACCUAGUAUGCAUCACUUGAAGGGAACACACAGAUUCCAGUAAACAGUUGGAAGGAAAUGUUAAUACCAGGCUCUGCUAAACAAUAUGAAAUGACUCCUAGAUGAGACAAGCGACUUUCAUCAAAGUUUCCUGAUACCUGAAAAGACAGCCCAGGGGAUCCUGCACUACAUCUGGUGUAUGUAAAUUAAGCGGGUUUUUUUCCCCUUUGUAAUCAAGGCUCAUACACAAACAAAAUCACACUUUAGAAACGGCCUAUUUCAACUUGUAACUAGCUUGCUUUCAGGGGCUCCAGGUCAAAAAGAAAUAGAGCACAAAGACGCUUUCUCCUUAGGGAUCAUACACAAAUUCACUCUGUCCGUUUCUUUCCCACAUGGAGCAACAAAGCCAUCAGACCUCUCCAUCCACCCAUUGGGUCCUUCCUGAUUAAAGUGAGAUAAAUCACAGCCCUCUCUCUCCAGAUGGCAGGCGACAAGAGGGGGAUGCUUGCCUCAAGAAGUCCUCCCCAUCCCUCUGCAUUCAUGCAAGCCCGAGCGGAGAGAUGCAAGAAAUUAUGGAUGCGUUUUAAUUCCCCAGACCCUGCAAUUAAAAAUGGAAAUUUUUUGGCCACGUGUAUUGGCUCACGCCUGUAAUCCCAGCACUUUCAGAGGCCGAGGUCGGCGGAUCACCUGGGGUCAGGAGUUCGAGACCAGCCUGCCCAACAUGGUGAAACCCUGUCUCUACUAAAAAUACAAAAAUUAGCUAGGAAUGGUGGUGGGCGCCUGUAGUCCCAGCUACUCGGGAGGAUGAGGCAGGAGAAUCACUUGAACCCGGGAGGCAAAGUUUGCAGUGAGCCAAGAUCACACCACUGCACUCCACUCUGGGUGACAAAGCAAGACUUCAUCUCAAAAAAUGUUUUUAAAAAA